GCCGGCGUAGCUCAGUUGGUAGAGCAGGGGUUUUGUAAACCUCAGGUCCGCGGUUCGAUUCCGUGUGCCGGCACCA
rnacentral:tRNA from 2 species